UCUGGCCUACGGGAGGCAGCAGUGAGGAAUAUUGGUCAAUGGCCGGAAGGCUGAACCAGCCACGCCGCGUGAAGGACGAAGGUGCCAAGCAUUGUAAACUUCUUUUGUCAAGGGACAAAAUCAGGCUCGAGAGCCUGACCGAGGGUACUUGAAGAAAAAGCAUCGGCUAACUCCGUGCCAGCAGCCGCGGUAAUACGGAGGAUGCGAGCGUUAUCCGGAUUUAUUGGGUUUAAAGGGUGCGUAGGCGGACUGUUAAGUCAGCGGUAAAAGCCGGGGGCUCAACUCCGGCGAGC
rnacentral:rRNA from 1 species